rnacentral:rRNA from 1 species
AUUGAACGCUGGCGGCAUGCUUUACACAUGCAAGUCGAACGGCAGCGCGGAGAAGCUUGCUUCUCUGUCGGCGAGUGGCGCACGGGUGAGUAUAGCAUCUGAACGUGCCAAGUAGUGGGGGAUAACCAAACGAAAGUUUGGCUAAUACCGCGUAAGCUCUAAGGAGGAAAGUUGGGGACCUAAAUAAGGCCUUACGCUAUUUGAUCGGCCGAUGUCGGAUUGGCGAGUUGGUGGGGUAAUGGCUCACCAAGGCAAUGAUCCGUGGCGGGACUGUAAGGAGGAUCAGACACACUGGGACUGAGACACGGCCCAGACUCCUACGGGAGGCAGCAGUGGGGAAUUUUGGACAAUGGGGGAAACCCUGAUCCAGCCAUGCCGCGUGUAUGAAGAAGGCCUUAGGGUUGUAAAGUACUUUUGUUAGGGAAGAAAAGCUAGUUUUUAAUAAAAAUUAGUGAUGACGGUACCUAAAGAAUAAGCACCGGCUAACUACGUG